GGGGGAUGAUGCUGCCAGGGGCAGGGCUGGAGGACCAACAUGGCAAGCUGUGGCUGACUGCCUUGAAGGGUGCUCUGCAAGCCAUCUAGAACUUGCCAGGAGACCAGAGUUCCUUUGGUGAGGCAGAUGGUGCUACAGGUGACUCAACUUAUCUGGCAGUGGCUCACUUUUCUUCUGGAAGCAAAGUCUACACUGAAAGGCAAAAUGCCAGGAGCCACAUCCACAUAGGAAGUAAUUGGCUCAAGAUCAAGGGAUUAGACAAAGUGAAAGGUCUUAUUUGUUAUUUUUUGCUUUCAUCUUGCAGCUUGGUAAGUGGAAAUGCUUUGCUUUGGGUCUUCUCACAUAUCAGAAAACUCAAGCCACUGAAGGAACAAAGUGCAAGGGAGUCAAACUUGCAUCACUUACACACUCAACAAGAAUUAUUAAUCAAUUGCCAAAUAAUCCUGAGGUGCUACAUGCCACCUGCAUUAAUAAAAUAUAUUCAGCCCUGGAAGAAGAGACUUGAUUCCCUCUUCUGAAAAACUGCUUCAUGCAACACCUCAUUGUAUGACCGAAUGUGAAUGUGCUGACACAUGAAACAAGAAUUUAAAGGUAGGAAUGUGCACAAACCGCUGAACCUUUGUCCGCACCGAACCAGUUCAAAGGUGGUUCGAAGGUGUGGGGGGAUAGCUUUAAGACGCGGGGAGGGUGUC